rnacentral:rRNA from 1 species
UACGUAGGUGGCGAGCGUUGUCCGGAUUUACUGGGCGUAAAGGGCGUGCAGGCGGUUUGUUAAGUGCAGGGUGAAAGCUCCCGGCUCAACUGGGAGAGGUCCUUGCAUACUGGCGAACUCGAGGGAGGCAGAGGAAAGUGGAAUUCCCGGUGUAGUGGUGAUAUGCGUAGAUAUCGGGAGGAACACCUGUGGCGAAGGCGGCUUUCUGGGCCUUACCUGACGCUGAGGAGCGGAAAGCCGUGGGUAGCAAACAGG